AGAGUUUGAUCCUGGCUCAGAACGAACGCUGGCGGCGUGUCUAAUACAUGCAAGUCGUGCGAGAAAAUCAAUUUAAGCUUGCUUAUUGAGAUGAGUAAAGCGGCGAACGGGUGAGUAACACGUGGGCAAUCUGCCCUAAAGUCGGGGAUAAGCCUGGGAAACUGGGUCUAAUACCGGAUGAUACCCGAGAAUGGCAUCUUUUUCGGAUCAAAGGCGGGGUAACCUGUCGCUUUAGGAUGAGCCCGCGGUCCAUUAGCUUGUUGGUGAGGUAACGGCUCACCAAGGCUCCGAUGGAUAGCCGGCCUGAGAGGGUGAUCGGCCACACUGGCACUGAGAUACGGCCCAGACUCCUACGGGAGGCAGCAGUAGGGAAUAUUGCGCAAUGGACGAAAGUCUGACGCAGCGACGCCGCGUGGGUGAUGAAGCUCCUUGGAGUGUAAAACCCUGUCAGUGGGGAAGAACCGUACCGGAAGUAACUGUCCGGUGCCUGACGGUACCCGCAAAGGAAGCUCCGGCUAACUCCGUGCCAGCAGCCGCGGUAAUACGGGGGGAGCUAGCGUUGUUCGGAUUUACUGGGCGUAAAGGGCGUGUAGGCGGAUUUUCAAGUCAUGUGUGAAACCCAGCGGCUCAACCGCUGGCCUGCACAUGAUACUGUAAAUCUUGAGUACGGGAGAGGAAGGCGGAAUUCCUGGUGUAGCGGUGAAAUGCGUAGAUAUCAGGAGGAGCACCGGUGGCGAAGGGCGGCUUUCUGGCCCGAUACUGACGCUGAGGCGCGAAGGCCGGGGGAGCAAACAGGAUUAGAUACCCUGGUAGUCCCGGCAGUAAACGAUGGGCACUAGGUGUUGGAGGUAUCGACCCCUUCAGUGCCGCAGCUAACGCAUUAAGUGCCCCGCCUGGGGAGUACGACCGCAAGGUUGAAACUCAAAGGAAUUGACGGGUCCCCGCACAAGCGGUGGAGUAUGUGGUUUAAUUCGAAGCAACGCGCAGAACCUUACCUGGGCUUGACAUGUGCUGGACCAAGGCCGAAAAGUCUUUUUCCCUUCGGGGACCAGUACACAGGUGCUGCAUGGCUGUCGUCAGCUCGUGCCGUGAGGUGUUGGGUUAAGUCCCGCAACGAGCGCAACCCCUGUCCCCAGUUGCCAGCGAGUUAUGUCGGGGACUCUAGGGAUACUGCUAGUGAUAAGCUGGAGGAAGGUGGGGACUACGUCAAGUCCUCAUGGCCCUUACGCCCAGGGCUACACACGUACUACAAUGGCCGGUACAGAGGGCUGCAAUAUCGCGAGAUGGAGCUAAUCCCAAAAGCCGGCCUCAGUUCAGAUUGGAGUCUGCAACUCGACUCCAUGAAGGAGGAAUCGCUAGUAAUCGCUGAUCAGCAGGCAGCGGUGAAUACGUUCCCGGGGAUUGUACACACCGCCCGUCAAGCCACGGAAGUUGGGGGUACCCGAAGUCGUUUGCCUAACCUUAGGGAGGGCGGCGCCGAAGGUAAAACCGAUGACUGGGGCUAAGUCGAAACAAGGUA
rnacentral:rRNA from 1 species